UACGUAGGGUCCAAGCGUUAAUCGGAAUUACUGGGCGUAAAGGGUGCGUAGGCGGUUGUUUAAGUCUGUCGUGAAAUCCCCGGGCUCAACCUGGGAAUGGCGAUGGAUACUGGGCAGCUAGAGUGUGUCAGAGGAUGGUGGAAUUCCCGGUGUAGCGGUGAAAUGCGUAGAGAUCGGGAGGAACAUCAGUGGCGAAGGCGGCCAUCUGGGACAACACUGACGCUGAAGCACGAAAGCGUGGGGAGCAAACAGG
rnacentral:rRNA from 1 species